CCUACGGGAGGCAGCAGUGAGGAAUAUUGGUCAAUGGACGAGAGUCUGAACCAGCCAAGUAGCGUGAAGGAUGACUGCCCUCUGGGUUGUAAACUUUUUUUAUAUGGGAAUAAAAUGUUCCACGUGUGGGUUUUUGUAUGUACCAUAUGAAUACGGAACGGCUAACUCCGUUCCAGCAGCCGCGGUAAUACGGAGGUUCCGAGCGUUAUCCGGAUUAAUUGGGUUUAAAGGGAGCGUAGGUGGAUUUUUAAGUCAGUUGUGAAAGUUUGCGGCUCAACCGGAAAAUUGCAUUUGAAACUGGCAGUCUUGAGUACAGUAGAGGAGGGCGGAAUUCGUGGUGUAGCGGUGAAAUGCUUAGAUAUCACGAAGAACUCCGAUUGCGAAGGCAGCUCACUGGACUGCAACUGACACUGAGGCUCGAAAGUGUGGGUAUCAAACAGGAUUAGAUACCCGUGUAGUC
rnacentral:rRNA from 1 species